rnacentral:rRNA from 1 species
ACGGGUGAGUAAUAUAUCGGAACGUGCCCAAUCGUGGGGGAUAACGUAGAGAAAUUUACGCUAAUACCGCAUACGAUCUAAGGAUGAAAGCGGGGGAUCGCAAGACCUCGCGCGAUUGGAGCGGCUGAUAUCAGAUUAGGUUGUUGGUGAGGUAAAAGCUCACCAAGCCGACGAUCUGUAGCUGGUUUGAGAGAACGACCAGCCACACUGGGACUGAGACACGGCCCAGACUCCUACGGGAGGCAGCAGUGGGGAAUUUUGGACAAUGGGCGAAAGCCUGAUCCAGCAAUGCCGCGUGCAGGAAGAAGGCCUUCGGGUUGUAAACUGCUUUUGUACGGAACGAAACGGUCUGCCCUAAUACGGCGGGCUAAUGACGGUACCGUAAGAAUAAGCACCGGCUAACUACGUGCCAGCAGCCGCGGUAAUACGUAGGGUGCGAGCGUUAAUCGGAAUUACUGGGCGUAAAGCGUGCGCAGGCGGUUAUGUAAGACAGUUGUGAAAUCCCCGGGCUCAACCUGGGAAUUGCAUCUGUGACUGCAUAGCUAGAGUACGGUAGAGGGGGAUGGAAUUCCGCGUGUAGCAGUGAAA